CUGGGCUCCCACGCAGAGGACUCAGAUGUUCACUUCUCAACGUGUUUGGAUAUACGCCCAAAGCUACAAACAAUAUUACCGAGGUAGACCUGCAGGCUGUUUCGCCUAUAAUAAGGAGAUCCUAAGAAGAACAUUUUACGAUUUUUCUUUCGAUAUUGUAACUGAUGUGAAAACAUAUUACCUCGAAUACCAUGCGAGACUGGGAGUAGAUUCUCAAAUGAAUGCUUACAUGAGUAUAUAUGUGCACAGACAACAUAAUACGAAGUAUAUAACGUUCAAAGCUGGCUCCACAUUCAAGCUAUCGUGAACAAAUUAUUGUUGCGCAGAUCGGGGACCAUUUACGAAGACACUUAAACACUGGGACAACGUUAAACGUUGUGGAAUACUCACGCUUCAACUUCUUGGCCAAAAACACUGCGAACUCCUUGUGUGGAAUAGAAGAAUACGACAAGUUUAUGAACAGCAACAAAACUAUACUGACUGUCACAGCGAAUACAGAACGCACUGCAGCAACGCCUCUUUCUUGGUACAACUUCAUCGCAGUUGCCCGAAUUUCGUUAGUGCAGCUCCGCAUUGAAUAUAUUAAUAAAAUCGGUGUU
rnacentral:lncRNA from 1 species